rnacentral:lncRNA from 1 species
AAUGGAAUUAAAUAGGUUCAUUCAUAUCAAGAAAUGAUAUAAAAAUGUUUGGUAUUGAUGAAUUGUCUAAAAUAAUUUUUUAGAUCAAGUAUUGAAUCAAACCGAGGAUAAUCAGGGAAAACAAAAGUUAUCGAAUAGUCUUUGAAGAUUCAACUUAUUUACUAUUUUUCUACUUAAGUUCAUAUGGUAUUUAUGUAUUUAAAUAAUUAUAUGUUUGGUUUGU